AUUUAUAUAGUUUCAUUAAAACUUUAUAUUUUCAUUAUAAAAUUAGAAAUUUAUUUCUUAUAAAUA
rnacentral:tRNA from 1 species